GUACCCUGUACCCCUCCCGCCGCACAUCGUGAACCCCCUCCGUAUAGAUUUUUCACAGCUGCAGUGAGCAGUCUGCAGUGCAUUUCUGUGUAACCGAUUUCCAUAGCCAUGCAAACAAGUAACCUGUCUUGUGCCCUCGCUAUGUCGCCCCCCUAAAUUAAUUCAGAAUUCACUCUUUCCCGCGUUUACUUCCGAUUCUUUCAAAUGUUCAAGGUACGAUUGGCGGGGUGGCUAAAAAAUGUCAUCUGGAUCCGGAGUGAGGCGAUAUAGCGCCAUGUGGCUGGAGCUGACCAGCCGCCUGACACCAUGCUACGCCUUGGGAACGGCCAUCGUCUGCGGGCACGUGGCUGCCCAACACAGCAGCCCCAUCGCCAUCGUCGCCCUCCCCAUCUCUGCACACACGUGCCUCAUCGCAUGUAUGAAUACCCCGAAAAAACCUCACCAGUUGAAUUACUGGUUAGAGCUUCUCCAUCGGGUGGCCUCCCUCAGUCUGGUCGCCCAGGCCCUGGGCACGACCAUGUCCUACAUGCGCUCCGACGUUUGGAUUGGCAAGAUUCUCAAUACUAAUCUUCCACUAGUGUAUCCUCCUUCAGCCUUAGCCACUCUAUCACUCGGCAUGCUCAGCCUCCUCUACUCUCUGGGUCUUGAAAGAUCGAGUAUCAUGCGAUUGCUGAUGGUAAAGUGUGUCAUUUUGCUGACGGUUUGCUUAGCUUUCACAGCAGUUUUGGUGCCAGAUGCGACAAAUUAUAAAAAUAAUAUUCCAACACAUGCAGCCCAUGAUUGGUCUGAGGUAGUUAGAGUGGGUGCCAUGCUGGUCUGUAGUCUAAUAAGCACAGGCAGGGUGGCAAGUCACGUAGAUACUAUUGAGGGACGUUCUUCUGUCCAUGCUGGGGCGAUCCUAUUGGCCAUCGUCUCCUACACGCUCAUCUGCAUGUCCUUCUCCAUGCUUAUCAACAUUGACCUGAUAUCAACUGAUGAUGUGGCAGUGGUGAAGAUUUUCGAAAUUCGCGGAGAUCAGGGUCUAUUCCUCGUGGUGUACAGCCUUACCGUGUCCAUCCUGACGCUGACCUUCUCGGAACUCAUGUCGCCAGCCGUUCAUAAUGUUGUUGGCAUAUCCUCGCAAAACUACAUGCUCCCGGUGGUCCUGGCUAAGGAGGCCUCCUUUACCUCUACCCAUGUAUACGCUAUUUUUUUCGUCGGUUGCCUAGGUGCCAUUUUGUGCCUUAUAUGUUCUAUGCAAGUGCUGAUAUGCUUGGUCAGCGGCACUUACCUGCUCAAUCAUGUAGUUUGUGUCAUUGCGUCACUAUGGAGAAGAUAUCAGCCGUCCAUCAGUAUUUCCUCUAAUUAUUGCAACGGCCGAGAGGCUGAGUACCGGCCGCUGAGUACGGAAGGAGACCCAGCACCCGGGAACAGUCUAGCGUCACCGCCGGGUUCCCGGACGGAGCUGAGGGGGUUCCCGAGGGAGGAGCCGGGGAGUCCGGGCGAGGAUCAGGACCAACACCAGCUCAUCAGCAUCCACGCGGACUCGGCGACCGACGGGGACAGCCGCGGAUCCGUGACGUCACUCGGCUCCCAGACCCGGUUCCUCCGCGCUGGCCCCGCACCGGACUUCCACCCCCACGACAGCAACGACUCCGGCCACAGCUCCGAGACGGACAUCGACGCCGCCGUCGCCCAGUACAAAGAGAUCCUCCUGAUAGAGUCUGCAACCAAUUUUAGUUCAGCGCGGAUUCCUACCUCAGAGACUUGGAGGAAAGCUGUUGCAAGCAUUACUGGAAUAUUAAUGUGCACCGGAAUUUUGGGUGCAAGCAUACAUUUCUCACUAUUUUUUGUUUUCUUCAUCACGCUCAUAGCAGCAUCUAUUUUUGGCGGGCUUUUGGCAUGCCAACCUCAGCGACCACGCGUCGAAGGGGAAAUAUUGUGCCCUUUCUGGCUGUCCAUAGCAAACAUCAUAUCUUGUGGCAUUUGUUGUGUCAAAUAAUUGCAGAUAUCUUUUGGAUCACCUCUAUAUGGCUACUAAUUGGGGGAGGUCUCUUGUGGAAGAUGAGGCAUAUACGGAGGAGGACGAGAAGGCGUCGUGAGAGAAUCAAGCUCAUAUCGCCGCCGCUCCAUCGGACCGUUAGGACUUUCGUCACCAGACAACGCACAAUCAAUGCAAAUUCCGAGAGCAGCUCUUUACAUCACCAACAAUUAAGCGUUGAUCCAAACGCAUCGACCUGUUUGGUAGCCUUGAGCAGAGGCGUUUUUCCAUCCACGUUAUAGGAAAACCCUGCUUCCAACAGAAAUUUUGGAGUGAAUUAUUGAGGGGCUAAAAAAUGUGAGGGCGCAUUUCAAUGCCCACUUGAGCCCUGUUCUUCGUAUAACUCUUUGUUUUCCGGGGCUCAUGUGGAAAUAGAGGUACGCCUUAGAGUCAAAGAGGUGACGAAUUCAGCAACACGUAUCCAGGGGUGCAGAAAGUUCACGUGCCAACGGUCGAUCUCAAGCAUUUCGGAACUUAGCGCGAUUCGCAAGUCUUGAGUCGAGAGCCGAGACUGGAGAUCGGGUUUCGCUGCGAGCUCGAGGAGACACCGUGAGUCUUGAAGUAUAUCUACAGUUUUGCAGGGGCUUUCGCGAUCGUUUUUCACGAAGAGGUCAAAGUUUCGGAAAUUUUCUUUUGGAAGAUGAGGUCCCUUUUCACAGAUCUCCGGUUACAAUUCGACGUAUUUCUGCCAGACAGAAGUAUGUGCAUUAUGACAUGAGCCCUGUUAUUCAGAUAUUCUUAUGGGUCUCAGGCAUAGAGUACAUAGAGUCGUAAUGUAAGUGGGAGAGCUGGCGCCACUUUUAAGCAUUUUCCAUGUCCCGAACUCCGAGACUCCUGUGUUACGCCGGGUCACUUUUCGAUACAUAUCGAUUGUUUGCGAUACACGGGUACCCGGCCAUCCGAUGACAACAACAACAACAACAACAACAACAACAACAACACACAACAACAACAACAACAACAACAACAACAACAACAACAACAACAACAACAACAACAACAACAACAACAACAACAACAAAGGAGAUAGGAAUUACCAUGUAUUCCACACCGCCAUUUUGGAUCGAAAAUGUGUCGAAAAAGCGACCCGAACUCGGCGCACACCGGGCUCGGAACUCGUCGAACAGAACAUGGCGCCAGCCCUCCCAUUUACAUUACGACUCUAUGUACUCUAUGGUCUCAGGGCUCAUGUCUUAAUGCACAUAGUUCCGUUUGGCAGAAAAUCAGAAAUACGUCCAAUUGUGAAGCAGAAAACUUUCUCGCAUGUCUACAACAGUGAAAAAGAGCUUGGUUCUCUUCCGAUGACUCAAAGAUUUCAACGUGGGAGUAGAAAAAUUGGAUGGGGCGAAACGCGUGAUACAACUAUUUCGACUUUCAAGAAGAUGAAAUUGCAUAUCCACAAAAUGAAAAUAACAAGAACUUGUUUCGGCUCUGACUUCGUGACUUUAACGCAAGAGCAGAAAAGUUGGAUUGGGCAAAACGCGUGAGACAACUAUUUCGACUUCAAAAUAGGUACCGUUGCGUAUCCACAAAAUGAAGGAGAAUCUCGCUUCGUCUGACUCAGAGACUUUAACGCAGUAGUAGAAAAGUUGGAUGGGCCGAAACGCGUGAUACAACUAUUUCAAACAUUCAAUUAUUUUGAAAUAAAAUUGCAGAUUCACGAUAUGCAGGAAAACAAGAACUCUUUUCGACUGACUUAGAAACUUCAACGCUGGAGCUGAAAAGUUAGAUGGGGCAAAACGCAUGAUACAACUAUUUCAAACAUUCAAUUAUUUUAAGAUAAAAUUGCAGAUUCGCGAUAUGAAGGAAAUCAUGGUUUUCAUUUUUUCCCAACUAAUUAACCUGCUACUUUUUGGUGAAAAUUACUGCGAGCGCGCGAUGGCAUAGUGGGCUGAAUCCCUUGUUGCUCAAAACUGCGUAGGCCGAGGAGGUUUCUACACCCCUGGACAUAUCUCGUGCAUUGUUCUAAACACCCGUCCAAUUUAUGUUUUCAAAGUAGAGCAAUUCAUCAUUAUUUCAUGAUAUUUGUGCAGAAUAUUUUUUGUGCCGCCUAAUGAUAAAAAAUUGAAAAAAAAAAAAAUAAACAAAUACAAUUUGAAAAAUCGUCUAAUUAUAGUAGUUCGAGGUUCGUGUAUUAUUGAACCUUUGCUGGCGAUUUAUUUUAUGCGAUGGAACUGAUGGAAGACGAUGUCUCAGAAUAUCUUGAAAAUUAAUUUCAUGUCCAAAAAUUCUUUAGAGGGUAUUUGAGUUUUGGGGCUCAGACGGCCUCACUCAAGUGAUGCUCUUAUAUAGCGCUGAGGUCUGGCUGCUGCUGUUUCCGAAUUUGGCAAACAUUCUGCAAUUUAUGCUCAUUCUCUUAUUAAACACAAACCCCCUUGCACCUCCCAGGUAACAAUAGUAACAGUUCAAAAUUGCAAUUUCACAACAGUUUUUACACUGUUACUUUUGUGCACUUUUUCAUCGAAAAAUUUGCUCUAGUACAACAGUUGAAAAACCAACGGAAAAGAGAAGUCCUUUGCGACUAUAAUCACUGAAAAAUUUUUCUUACAUACUUAAAAAUACCAGUGGAAAAUUUAUAAUUUAGUCAUGUUUUCUGAAAAUAUAACACAAAUUUAACUAGUGUUAUACACCGAUCGAAAAGGAACUAUUAUUGCAAUAAAAACAUACUUAGAUUUGAAAUAAAACGACGGUUUAAAAUUCUCAAUCAAAAUCACUUACUU
rnacentral:lncRNA from 1 species